AUUGAACGCUGGCGGCAGGCCUAACACAUGCAAGUCGAGCGAGCGGCGGACGGGUGAGUAAUGUAUGGGGACUGCCCGAUAGAGGGGGAUCACUACUGGAAACGGUAGCUAAUACCGCAUCCUAUCGGAUAACCCAUAUGGGAUUGGCUAGUAGGUGAGGUAAUGGCUCACAUAGGCGACGAUCCCUAGCUGGUCUGAGAGGAUGAUCAGCCACACUGGGACUGAGACACGGCCCAGACUCCUACGGAGGCAGAAGGGGGGAAGAUGGCACAAUGUGCGCAAGACUGAUGCAGCCAUGCCGCGUGUAUGAAGAAGGCCCGAGGGUUGUAAAGGACUUUCAGUCGGGAGGCGUUACCGACAGAAGAAGCACCGGCUAACUCCGUGCCAGCAGCCGCGGUAAUAC
rnacentral:rRNA from 1 species